rnacentral:rRNA from 1 species
GAUGAACGCUGGCGGCGUGCCUAAUACAUGCAAGUCGAGCGAACGGACGAGAAGCUUGCUUCUCUGAUGUUAGCGGCGGACGGGUGAGUAACACGUGGAUAACCUACCUAUAAGACUGGGAUAACUUCGGGAAACCGGAGCUAAUACCGGAUGAUAUUUUGAACCGCAUGGUUCAAAAGUGAAAGACGGUCUUGCUGUCACUUAUAGAUGGAUCCGCGCUGCAUUAGCUAGUUGGUAAGGUAACGGCUUACCAAGGCAACGAUGCAUAGCCGACCUGAGAGGGUGAUCGGCCACACGAGAAGUGAGACACGGUCCAGACUCCUACGGGAGGCAGCAGUAGGGAAUCUUCCGCAAUGGGCGAAAGCCUGACGGAGCAACGCCGCGUGAGUGAUGAAGGUCUUCGGAUCGUAAAACUCUGUUAUUAGGGAAGAACAUAUGUGUAAGUAACUGUGCACAUCUUGACGGUACCUAAUCAGAAAGCCACGGCUAACUACGUG